GGGGAUUUAGCUCAGCGGCAUAAGCACCUGCCUUGCAAGCAGGUCGUCAUGAGUUCAAUCCCCA
rfam:Cavia porcellus supercont2_5 genomic scaffold, whole genome shotgun sequence.